UCCCGGCAGCAGGGCACUUGCCCCCCGCCCUGCAGCGCGCACAGCCCCGAUUGAGCCUGUGAUUCAGCGGCUGCCUCAGUUGACACCUGCUGCCACAUCCCCCACCCAGCCCUGUGGAAUCACCUGGGCGCAGCCCUCCGCCCUGACCGACCCCAGGGGCAGCUGCGUGGGCGGAAGUUUCCACCUGAGCUGUCCCGCCCACACCUCCAACCUGUGGCCGUUGACUUUGAGGAAACUCACGCAAGGUGCCGGGACACCCCACAGCCCGAACCCCGAGGAGACCAAGAGAAAAAAGCACAGAUGUGGAGGAGAAGCGGCCGAGCAGCGUGCAGGCCGGCUCCGUCGCCGGGCCGCGGGCCGCCAGCUGCAGCGGGACUUCCCUCCCAGGCCCUGCCCGUCUGUAAAGUGCAUCAUGAGGCAUCUACGUUUUUGACUUCAACCUGAAGGGGUGGGGGCGGCUUCCUCGUCUCGUCCCACUCUCAACCAUCUGGAGUGACUGCUACAUAUUGGAGCUUGGGAAGUGGGCGGGGAAGGACCCAGCUCAGGCCGAGGACGGGAGCCGCGACGACGGGAGGAAGAGGCGGGGAACAGGGAGGCAGGAGCCAAGUCCACGGAGAGUUUGGAAAACCAUGGUAAGAAUGGAAAUUAAAAAAAAUACAAACAA